UUCUUUACCAGCUAAAAAUGCUCAUUUACUCUGUUGUGGACAGCAAGGACAUCAUCACAGUGGAAGAAAAUGACAGCCAAAGAUUCUACUUAACAUUACAGUCUCCAAGUCAUACAAACAGAGCCUAAUGCCGUGUUGGAGACAAAUUAUAAGAAACUUAAACUUUGAGAUUUAAAAAAAU